AUUUUAGAAGUUAUAACACCACUAAAAGAUGAAAUUUUGAAAUUCGUUAAUAAUCAAAUAGAAAUGGAUCAUUGUCGUGACGAUUACCGUGAACUCCUGCAAUUAUCAUCGAUAUUUUUGAGUGCUACUACCACAAAUAUUACAUUUAAGCGUCCUGGAGCCGUCCAUCAUGCAAGGUG